UACGUAGGUGGCGAGCGUUGUCCGGAAUCAUUGGGCGUAAAGCGCGUGUAGGCGGUCCGGUAAGUCCGCUGUGAAAGUCGGGGGCUCAACCCUCGAAUGCCGGUGGAUACUGUCGGGCUAGAGUGCGGAAGAGGCGAGUGGAAUUCCUGGUGUAGCGGUGGAAUGCGCAGAUGUCAGGAGGAACACCGGUGGCGAAGGCGGGUCUCUGGGCAGUAACUGACGCUGAGGAGCGAAAGCGUGGGGAGCGAACAGG
rnacentral:rRNA from 1 species